UGGUAGCUCAGUGGGAGAGCAUCUGCUUUACAUGCAGAAGGUCCUUGGUUAGCUCUCCAGAAUCUCCAGGUAGGACAG